AUUGAACGAUGGCGGCAGGCCUAACACAUGCAAGUCGAGCGGAGCGGCGGAAGGGUGAGUAAUGCCUAGGAAUCUGCCUGGUAGUGGGGGAUAACGUCCGGAAACGGGCGCUAAUACCGCAUACUAUCAGAUGAGCCUAGGUCGGAUUAGCUAGUUGGUGGGGUAAAGGCCUACCAAGGCGACGAUCCGGAACUGGUCUGAGAGGAAGAUCAGUCACACGGGAACUGAGACACGGUCCAGAUCCCGACGGGAGGCAGCAGUGGGGAAUAUUGGACAAUGGGCGAAAGCCUGAUCCAGCCAUUCAGCGUGUGUGAAGAAGGUCUUCGGAUUGUAAAGCACUUUAAGUUGGGAGGCGUUACCAACAGAAUAAGCACCGGCUAACUUCGUGCCAGCAGCCGCGGUAAUUC
rnacentral:rRNA from 1 species